rnacentral:rRNA from 1 species
GACCUCGGAUCAGGUAGGGAUACCCGCUGAACUUAAGCAUAUCAAUAAGCGGAGGAAAAGAAACCAACAGGGAUUACCUCAGUAACGGCGAGUGAAGCGGUAACAGCUCAAAUUUGAAAGCUGCCAACAGGCCGCGUUGUAAUUUGUAGAAGCUGCUUUGGGUGUCGGCCCGGUCUAAGUUCCUUGGAACAGGACGUCAUAGAGGGUGAGAAUCCCGUAUGUGAUCGGUGCCGUUGCCCGUGUAAAGCGCUUUCGACGAGUCGAGUUGUUUGGGAAUGCAGCUCAAAAUGGGUGGUAAAUUUCAUCUAAAGCUAAAUAUUGGCCAGAGACCGAUAGCGCACAAGUAGAGUGAUCGAAAGAUGAAAAGCACUUUGGAAAGAGAGUUAAACAGUACGUGAAAUUGUUGAAAGGGAAGCGC